rnacentral:tRNA from 4 species
GGCCAGGUAGCUCAGUCGGUAGAGCAGGGGACUGAAAAUCCCCGUGUCGGUGGUUCGAUUCCACCCCUGGCCACCA